rnacentral:rRNA from 1 species
UGGCUCAGAUUGAACGCUGGCGGUAUGCUUAACACAUGCAAGUCGAACGGUAACGAUGCUAGCUUGCUAGCAGGCGACGAGUGGCGGACGGGUGAGUAACACGUGGGAAUCUACCGAGUAGCGGGGGAUAGCCCGGAGAAAUCCGGAUUAAUACCGCAUAAGCACUACGGUGUAAAGGGGGCCUCUUCUUGAAAGCUUCCACUAUUCGAUGAGCCUGCGUCAGAUUAGCUAGUUGGUGGGGUAAUGGCCUACCAAGGCGACGAUCUGUAGCUGGUCUGAGAGGAUGAUC